AAGACUUCGGUCUUAGCGGCGGACGGGUGAGUAACGCGUGGGAACGUGCCUUUCACUACGGAAUAGUCCCGGGAAACUGGGUUUAAUACCGUAUACGCCCUUCGGGGGAAAGAAUUUCGGUGAGAGAUCGGCCCGCGUCUGAUUAGGUAGUUGGUGGGGUAAUGGCCUACCAAGCCGACGAUCAGUAGCUGGUUUGAGAGGAUGAUCAGCCACACUGGGACUGAGACACGGCCCAGACUCCUACGGGAGGCAGCAGUGAGGAAUCUUGGACAAUGGGGGCAACCCUGAUCCAGCCAUGCCGCGUGAACGAUGAAGGCCUUAGGGUUGUAAAGUUCUUUCAACGGUGAAGAUAAUGACGGUAGCCGUAGAAGAAACCCCGGCUAACUCCGUGCCAGCAGCCGCGGUAAUACGGAGGGGGUUAGCGUUGUUCGGAAUUACUGGGCGUAAAGCGCACGUAGGCGGACUAUUAAGUCAGGGGUGAAAUCCCGGGGCUCAACCCCGGAACUGCCUUUGAUACUGGUAGUCUAGAGUUCGAGAGAGGUGAGUGGAAUUCCGAGUGUAGAGGUGAAAUUCGUAGAUAUUCGGAGGAACACCAGUGGCGAAGGCGGCUCACUGGCUCGAUACUGACGCUGAGGUGCGAAAGCGUGGGAGCAAACAGGAUUAGAUACCCUGGUAGUCCACGCCGUAAAC
rnacentral:rRNA from 1 species